GAUGAACGCUGGCGGCGUGCUUAACACAUGCAAGUCGAACGGGGAACAAAUUAUUGAAGCUUCGGCAGAUCUAGCUUGUUCCUAGUGGCGGACGGGUGAGUAACGCGUGGGUAACCUGCCUCACACUGGGGGAUAACAGUCAGAAAUGGCUGCUAAUACCGCAUAAGCGCACAGUACCGCAUGGUACAGUGUGAAAAACUCCGGUGGUGUGAGAUGGACCCGCGUUGGAUUAGCUAGUUGGCAGGGCAGCGGCCUACCAAGGCGACGAUCCAUAGCCGGCCUGAGAGGGUGAACGGCCACAUUGGGACUGAGACACGGCCCAGACUCCUACGGGAGGCAGCAGUGGGGAAUAUUGCACAAUGGGGGAAACCCUGAUGCAGCGACGCCGCGUGAAGGAAGAAAUAUCUCGGUAUGUAAACUUCUAUCAGCAGGGAAGAAAAUGACGGUACCUGACUAGAGCCCCGAWWMYYG
rnacentral:rRNA from 1 species